rnacentral:lncRNA from 1 species
GUACCCUGAGGUGGUACAACGUCUGAGCCAAUGAUUUUCGGCGACGUUGAUGAUGAUUUUUGGCGAUGUCGACGAUGAUUUCUGGUGACGGCUGAUGUUUCAAUUUUUUACGGAACAUUUAGCGUCAUCUUCUUGGGAAAAUUGUAUGUUUUCAAGCAACCAAAGUGGUAUUUAAUGAGUUUUUGUUAGUGUUUCAGGG